UCAGGUGGGGCAAGCCCCGAUGGGUUUUCUUUCUGAUGUGUCAGCAGGUUUGUGUCCUGGUCCCUCCAGCAGGCAUGGCCGUCUGUCCAGGGCAGUGUCAGGGGAAUCCUGCAGCCUGAAAAUGCUUUCCCCUCCGGGCCUGAGUAAGUUGUUCGAGACAGGAAGCCGUGGGACAACUAUCGGUCGAUGAGUCCCGGAUGUGACCGCUUCUGUGAAGCGUGCCACCUAGCCGGAUGGUUUCACCAUAACGUGUGAGUCCUUGCUGGGGGCAAGCCAGUGCUGGGGCCGUACUGAGGCUGCGCUGUUGCAGUGCAGGGAGCACCUGCCAUCCGCCUCUCCAUGGGCUUGGGCCUCUCCCAGCUGUGGCCGGGUCCAGAGAGGGAGCUUCCAGGAGGAGCUGGCGUUCCAGGAGCAUCUGGUGAGGGCUGCCCGGGUUUCGGCUGAGGGAGGAAGCGGCCAGAGCCCACCCCGCUCUGGGGAGACGGACAGAGACCCCACCACCCCAAGGAAAGAGGGUCCCAGACUUCAGGGUCAUGUUUUAUUGCUGCCACACGUGAGCUCCUAAGACCUCUUCAAGCCAGGAAUGUAGCUUCGUGCAAAAAUUCCUAAGGAAGAACACACUUCUGUCCUUUGUGUCGGGGGACAGUGGGGACCAG
rnacentral:lncRNA from 1 species